GUGCCAGCCGCCGCGGUAAUACGAAGGGUGCAAGCGUUAAUCGGAAUUACUGGGCGUAAAGCGCGCGUAGGUGGUUCAGCAAGUUGGAUGUGAAAUCCCCGGGCUCAACCUGGGAACUGCAUCCAAAACUACUGAGCUAGAGUACGGUAGAGGGUGGUGGAAUUUCCUGUGUAGCGGUGAAAUGCGUAGAUAUAGGAAGGAACACCAGUGGCGAAGGCGACCACCU
rnacentral:rRNA from 1 species